rnacentral:lncRNA from 1 species
CCUUACCAGACCAGUAUUCCUGAGGGAAGGGGAAGACAAGAGAUGAGCACUCCAAGAACCCCAGCACAUACGGACCACAGCACCGGGAGGGAGAACUCUGGCAGAGCAGCCAAGGCAGAAUCCACAGAAGAGGCAGCUGUCAGAGCAAGCCUGAGAACCGAGCGCUUCUGAAGACAUUUAAGAUCUUCCUACCUAUGACUAAAGAUGCCUGAACCAGAUA